rnacentral:tRNA from 1 species
AUGUAAGUAAAAAAAUAAUUUUAGUGUGUUGUGGUCUCAUAUUUAUAGAAAAUCUAUCUUUCAUC